GGCGACCUUUGAAGACACCGGCACGACUAUCCAGUAGAAAUAAAGCAUAAAGAAGAGCAGCCAGCGGCUCAACACAUCGCCGGCAAAACGAGGGAGAAGCACAAAAAAAACACUAAAACAAUGUAUUUUUCGGAGAAAACAACGUGCCAUCUACACGCUUAUUUACAGUCAAAUGUGGUUUGUUAUAUCUCGAAAAAUUCCAAACUCAC
rnacentral:lncRNA from 1 species